UGUAUUUUUUUCCUCUACUAUUUAGUUUACACUAUAGUGAUCUAUAUAUAUAUAUAUAUACACCAACAUUCACUUGAAAACAUCUAUUAUUCUAUUCUAUCUCCUUUGGAAAUUGAAGAGCUUCAAAGAAGUGGCAAAGAUGAGAGCAAAUAGCACUAUGAACCCAACAACUACAAAUGCAACAAUCAUCACUAUAACCAAAGUAUCUUCUAUGCACAACAUUAGCUAAAAUUCUCCUUCCAAUGGGGUCCUAGAGCUCAAUGUGGAUGUUCACUAUUUAGGUGAUGGCCGUUGGGUAUUAGGAUUACUGUCACGACAAGAGGAUGGAGGAUGUGUUGGUGUUGUAACGAAGGAGGUUCAAGGCUCAGAGGAUGCUAGUGGGGCUCUGGGAAGCACUAGAUUGGAUUGAGAGAGGCAGAAUGGAGCGAGUGGUGGUGGAGAUGGACGCCUAGGUCAUCGUGAGUGCGUGUUAUGAAUUUAUCGGAGUUAUUGGGGAAUUUGUUUCGGUGGUGUUAAGGGAAGAUGGAGACCUUUCAUCAAGAUGGAGGCUGCAUGAAUUUGUUUUUUUGAUGAAUCUUAUUAUCAUUUAUUUCAAUUAAAUGUCUUAGUCAGAAGGGAAAAAAAAAACAAAAAAUCAAUAAACAAAUUGAUGCAUGAAUCCAUCCAAAUGCAUGAAUCUUUUUCGGUGGCUUGACCAUCUUGAACAUUUAUCACACAAAAAAUUUAUUAUUUUCAAAUUUUUAUAC